UACGUAGGGGGCAAGCGUUGUCCGGAAUCAUAGGGCGUAAAGAGCGUGUAGGCGGCCCGAUAAGUCCGCCGUGAAAGUCCAGGGCUCAACCCUGGAAUGCCGGUGGAAACUGUCGGGCUGGAGUCCGGAAGAGGCGAGUGGAAUUCCUGGUGUAGCGGUGAAAUGCGCAGAUAUCAGGAGGAACACCAAUGGCGAAGGCAGCUCGCUGGGACGGUACUGACGCUGAGACGCGAAAGCGUGGGGAGCAAACAGG
rnacentral:rRNA from 1 species